ensembl:lncRNA
ACCCUGGGCCCAUUUAUCUCCUGCUUCAAUAGGAUAUCUUUUGUCCACCUGAGUUCCUGGAGGAAGGCUCAUACCUCCCAUGCAGACAGCACUCAGAACACUAUUGGCUGUCCCAGGGUGCACCCCUGAGUCAGGGCACAGGAUGAAGAAAGACCAUGAAGAACUCUGCCAACUUUAAGAGCUCACUUUUCUCGUGUGCAAGGCUUUUCAGGACCACAGCCACUCGAUGCAUGACUCCUCUCAGCCUGUGGGGCCAGGGAUACUCUGAUAACCUUGGAAGCCAGGCACAGGUGAGAAGUGAUGGGUGGCUCUUCAGGAAUGUGCUGCCCAAUUAAAACAGCCACCCGGAUGGCCAUGGCAGAUGCUGAGACUACUCCCCCAGGCGGUGCAGGCCAGGCUCCAGGCUUCCAGCGAAGCCACGAAGUGAGGCCCCGUGUAACUGAAGGAUGGACGCAUUCCCCAGAUGCCCCAGGUUCCCACUUGCCCUGCUGUAUUGAGACUUGAGCCCAAUCUCUCUGCCCCACGGCAAGACCCCAUUGGUAGCAGCAGUCCUACACCUAUCACUGCAUCCC